UACGAAGGGGGCUAGCGUUGUUCGGAAUUACUGGGCGUAAAAGGGCGCGUAGGCGGUGUGUCAAGUCAGGCGUGAAAGCCCCGGGCUCAACCUGGGAAUGGCGAUGGAUACUGGCUCGCUAGAGUGCGGUAGAGGAGAGUGGAAUUCCCGGUGUAGCAGUGAAAUGCGUAGAGAUCGGGAGGAACAUCAGUUGCGAAGGCGGCUCUCUGGACCAGCACUGACACUGAGGCACGAAAGCGUGGGGAGCAAACAGG
rnacentral:rRNA from 1 species